AACCUCCGCAAUGUGAGAAAUCGCGACGGGGGGAUCCCAAGUGCCAUUCUUAACGGGAUGGCUUUUCAUUAGUGUAAAGAGCUUUUGGAAUAAGGGCUGGGCAAGACCGGUGCCAGCCGCCGCGGUAACACCGGCAGCUCUAGUGGUAGCAGUUUUUAUUGGGCCUAAAGCGUCCGUAGCCGGUUUAAUAAGUCUCUGGUGAAAUCCUGUAGCUUAACUGUGGGAAUAGCUGGAGAUACUAUUAGACUUGAGACCGGGAGAGGUUAGAGGUACUCCCAGGGUAGAGGUGAAAUUCUGUAAUCCUGGGAGGACCGCCUGUUGCGAAGGCGUCUAACUGGAACGGUUCUGACGGUGAGGGACGAAAGUUAGGGCGCGAACCGGAUUAGAUACCCGGUAGUCCUAACUGUAAACGAUGCGGACUUGGUGUUGGGGUGGUUUUGAGCUGCUCCAGUGCCGAAGGGAAGCUGUUAAGUCCGCGCCCUGGAAGGUACGGUCGGUCAACGAACGUGAAACGUUA
rnacentral:rRNA from 1 species